AACGAACGCUGGCGGCAUGCCUAACACAUGCAAGUCGAACGAGACCUUCGGGUCUAGUGGCGCACGGGUGCGUAACGCGUGGGAACCUGCCUUUAGGUUCGGAAUAACUCAGAGAAAUUUGAGCUAAUACCGGAUGAUGUCUUCGGACCAAAGAUUUAUCGCCGUUCGAUGGGCCCGCGUUGGAUUAGCUAGUUGGUGGGGUAAAGGCCUACCAAGGCGACGAUCCAUAGCUGGUCUGAGAGGAUGAUCAGCCACACUGGGACUGAGACACGGCCCAGACUCCUACGGGAGGCAGGAGUGGGGAAUAUUGGACAAUGGGCGAAAGCCUGAUCCAGCAAUGCCGCGUGAGUGAUGAAGGCCUUAGGGUUGUAAAGCUCUUUUAACCGAGAUGAUAAUGACAGUAUCGGGAGAAUAAGCGCCGGCUAACUCCGUG
rnacentral:rRNA from 1 species